GUCUUGGUGGCUCAGUGGUAGAGUGCUUGCCUUGCAUGCAUGAGGCCCUGGGUUCAAUUCCUCAGAACC
rnacentral:tRNA from 1 species